rnacentral:tRNA from 1 species
CGAAAUAGCUCAGCUGGUAGAGCAACGGUUUUGUAAACCGUGGGUCGGAGGUUCGAGUCCUCUUUUCGG